rnacentral:rRNA from 1 species
AGAGUUUGAUCCUGGCUCAGAGCGAACGCUGGCGGCAGGCUUAACACAUGCAAGUCGAGCGGGCGUAGCAAUACGUCAGCGGCAGACGGGUGAGUAACGCGUGGGAACAUACCUUUUGGUUCGGAACAACCCAGGGAAACUUGGGCUAAUACCGGAUAAGCCCUUACGGGGAAAGAUUUAUCGCCGAAAGAUUGGGCCCGCGUCUGAUUAGCUAGUUGGUGAGGUAACGGCUCACCAAGGCGACGAUCAGUAGCUGGUCUGAGAGGAUGAUCAGCCACAUUGGGACUGAGACACGGCCCAAACUCCUACGGGAGGCAGCAGUGGGGAAUAUUGGACAAUGGGCGCAAGCCUGAUCCAGCCAUGCCGCGUGAGUGAUGAAGGCCCUAGGGUUGUAAAGCUCUUUUGUGCGGGAAGAUAAUGACGGUACCGCAAGAAUAAG